rnacentral:lncRNA from 1 species
AAAAUUAGAAAAAAACACAAAUGUUGUUGCAAAUCAAGAGUGGGCUUCAAUCUCAACUCAUAAAGUCAAAACCUUCAGACUCUAAACCACAAUUGGCUUCGAAAACUAAAACAGACAGAAACAGAGAAACUCAAUCAUCUCAAUUUCAGAGGGAAAGGUUAGUUCUUUUCACAAAUCUUAGACAUAAAGUUUAGAGCUUUGAUAAGAAACGAAUCAUAAACAGGAGAAUGCACGGUGAAGAACCGAGGAUUGGGAUCAACAAGAAAUGGAAAACAAACCUGUGGGAAUCAACGACAAUGGACUGAUCUAAAACGAGAGAAGAUGAAUGGGUGA